GUGUUGUAUGAAAGGAGAGAAGGUUAGCACUCCCCUUGACAAGGAUUGAAGAGGCUUCGGCCUUGCAACAUGCAUAGGUUAAGGCACUGCCACCUACUUCGUGGCAUCUAACAAACAUUUUU
rnacentral:ncRNA from 1 species